GCGACGAGAAAAAAGAUCAAGCAGAGAGGAGGAAGAAGAAGAACAAAAAAGGAAGAAAUAGAGCAGAGCAGAAGAAAAAUCAGUUAUCAGAUUAGCACUAAGAUCAUCCAGUUCGAAAGGCCGUUUCCUUCUAGUUUUUUUUUUUUUUUUUUUUUACUUUCUUUUCGAAAUUGAAGUUCGAAUUCGAGCUGGUAUCGCCGACGGAAAGCCCUCUGGUUCGCUGCUGCAUAAAAGGUCGGUAACCACUCUCAUCUUUUAUUCCGUUUCAGUUUUCUAUAAAUAAAUAUAGUCGCUCCGUAGUCUUUUGUUCUGUUGUCCGUUGAAUUUCUGCUUGUCCAAUCCCAUAGGUGUUCUCUGUUUGUUGUAGUGUGUCCUUUAAAUAUGUAAAAAUGACUACUGAGAACGAAUGUGAUAUGCCAAGGUCAAUUUGUGCUGGAGGGAUUUGCUAUUCGCAUUCGGCUUCUUAAAACACAGUUAUUUUACUCGAGUCCUAUACGGGACCGAUUGCUAUUUGAAGUCUCAAAGUUAGUUUGUGUUUAAGCUUUGGAAAUCAUGUUAUCGGGACUCCGUGACUAAAGUUUUAAUCGGGUAGAAAGCGCAAAGUCGUAAGUCAAGUUGGUUCGCUUGUGUUUUUCUGUUUCAAUUUCUUAAAUUAGUUGAAACAUGUCCGGUUAACUUACUGCUUUCGUCUUAAUUUAGCAGACGUACAAAUUCACUGGAACUGAGGCCUAUUGUUUGCUUUUCUUCGUUGUUAAUAAGUGUUCAUAUAAACAGAACCAAAUUGCUAGUUCAAUAGUCUCGUUGCUUUAAACGUCUGUAAGUUGGAAGUAAUAAAUUGGAGAUUACAUCUAUUGUUUGCUGCUAUUCCAGGAACUUCCCUUCUGUUUAUAUGUUCUUGGCCUAUACUUAGUAUGAAUUAGAAAGCAUGUAAUUGAACUUUUGACUAUCCGAGCUUCAUAUUUACAAGUCUAGACAUGGGUAGCUUCUCUAACGUGAAAUUUAAAAUCUCAGUGGUAUGGUCCUAUUUACCAUUCGAACUAGGCCCAGUUGUGAGUUGUGUAUGUUAGUUGACUACCACAGUGCUAGAUUUUAAUGCUUGGAAUCUGUUUGGUCAAAUCCUCAAAGGAUAUAUGGAGUAACUUAGGCUUUCCAUGAGGAAGCAAUUAUCUUGGGAUUUAGAUUUUAGUAUUGAUGCCAAUGCAUGAUCCUUGCUUGGGUGAAGAACUUGAAAUUGAUAAGUGUAGAGCCUCUUUCAUGGUGAUUUUACUCAAUUGUAUGAAUGAGCUGAUAUGGUUCUUCCAAAAUGGCUAUAAACUGUUUGUGAGGUAUAAUUAGAAUGAAGUUGUCAUCCCUAUGUAACAUUUUGCAUCCGUAACAGGAUAACAAUACGCUAGUAAUCAAGAGAGCGCAACAAGAGUUUAUGUAGAAUUAAUUUCAACUAAUUUGGUUUGAACUUAACUGCAUAUGACCAGGAAUAGGCCUGAAUAUAUUGAAAUACGUCAUUAGUAAACCAGUUUUUGGAACGUUCGAUUUUAUGCUGGUGUGUUUGUGAGUCUCUGUAUCCUUCAAAUCAGUUUUGUAAUAGACUUUAGGAGGCUCCCAGCCUUCUAAUGUGUAUAGCAGACCAUUUUAAAGUCAUUGCAAUGUUGAUUCGGAUGCUUUGAACAUGGUGAUAACUUCUUAAUUUUCAUAUACCAGUUCAAGAUGUUACAAGUUAUUGACUACUCUUGAUUAAGUACGGGCAAGGCUCGAAAUGUUUGAAAAUUCGGGCAUGUUCAGCUGUUUACCAUAGGAGCAUUUUUUUUCUUCUUGUGAAUACCCUUGAACCUUAUAGUGGUCCUUUUACAUGUUUUUCAAGAGCUGCAUAAUUAAAUGGAAGCGUGCAACUUCCCAUUUGGCAUAUGAAAAGUUGUGAUUCUGAAAAUUUUUGAAGUAAACUAGCUUUUGCUUAUAGGAUUAGUUUUGCUCAUUCUUAUACGACGUUAGUAAUUCAAGCCUAAAGGUGUCUAAAUGAGUAUAAAGUUUUCAUUGCUAGAUUUAAUUUAGUUUAAAGGUUAACGUUCGUCAACUCCGUUAUUAUUACCUUAAAUUCUAAACGUUUGCUUGCGUAUCUUAAAGUUGACCUGCUAGGAAGCUUUAUCAAAGCCUUUUUUUUCAGAUUCUUGAAGGUUUAUUUUUUAAAAAAAAAAGAAUUUGCCAAGUUGUUCAUUUAUUUCCUUACAGGGAUGCUCUCUCCUUUGAAAUCCACCAAAUGAAUAGCUUUGAUUACCCAUUAAUGAUGAGAUAAAAGCUGCUUAUUUGGUCAUAAAGAAGAGCAUAUUACGUCUCUAAGCUUUUGUAUGCUUCAGUAUGCGCCUAUGUUGUACUAUAUUAAUACAAGAAUCAUGUUGAAAUGUAUCUUUUCUCAAAACUACUUUUGGCUGAAAAUUAAGGCCAACGUUUAGUUAGCUGCUAAUCUUUUUUUUUUUUUUCCUUUUCAUAGCUUUUCUAGUGGGCUGUGAACAGUAAUAUUAUCUUGUUAUUAGCAUAUCUCUUGAUUCCUAUGUAAAGGUUAUUAAGCUUUUAGCAAUCUGUACUAAGCUUAAUUAAAUCAAUUGAUUUUGUUUGGCAUCUAAUUUUUAGCCUUUCCUCCUAUUUGGAUUUCCUGAAUGAUCGACCCAUCUUAAAAACAAAAAAUAUAGUUUACAAAUUGGGUUUGUUACCAUCCAUUGAAUAAACAGGGAUGAAAAAAAAAAUGAAUUUAGUAGUAGCAUUGUAUCCAUUUUCUAGUUACCUUGCCUAAGUCUCAGACUUGUUUUUACUUUUGCCUAUUUUAACAUCUCUAAACAGUAUGGACAUUUUGACCUAGUGCCUGUGUAUCUACAUUGUUAAGUGAUUUGGAGUGAUUGAACUUAACUGAUAAUUUACAAGUCUUGUCUUUGUUGAACUUUCUUUUACCAGGACUAAACAACUAUGUUUUCUCAAUAUGCUUACAUGAAAACUCUCUGCAAAGUGGUUUACCGUGCUUAAGCUUUGAUUUGAAAUUUUCUUUAGUUUAUCUUUUCGUGUGUUUGCCUUGGUAAACUUUGAAUUUGCUUCUGUAAAAGUUCAACUAUGGUUCCUGCAUUGUCUAUCUUAAUCAUUUACUUUAUUAAAACAUCAAAAUUUAAGUUAUAUUAAUCCUUAUCUUUUCUUUGUCUCAUGUGAACUCGGGAGCGCAAUUGGAGUUUAUGACUCGACUCCAUCUCUCUCCAUAUCGGAGAAGCGAUAACAAAUACAUUAUGGAUCUCAGUCAAUCAGUGGUGAUUUGCUAGUGUCUUCUGCAUUUUCCUCCUUAUGAUCAUCGUCGUGUUUCUUGAUAUUCAAUAUAAACUCUAACGCGUUCACUACUUCGCUGAUUAGAGGUCGCAUUCUGGAGUCCUCUUGCAGGCACAUUGCUGCAACUGUUAGAGCUUUAUGCAAUGCCUUCAUCGGGUAAUUCCCUUGUAGCAAUGGAUCUGCUAUUAAGUGUGACUUCCUCUUGUCAAGGAUCAGCGGCCGUGCCUGGCCAUCGAGUUGUGAAAUAAAGUUAGGUCUGGAGCUGUCGAUGACUCUUCUUCCGGUGACUAUUUCUAAAAGGACUACCCCGAAGCUAUAAACAUCGGACUUAACAGUCAGUUUACCUGUGCAAGCAUAGUCAGGUGCACAAUAACCAUAGGUUCCCAUAACCCGGGUGGAUACAUGAGUACUGUCACCUGUUGGACCUAGCUUGGCAAGUCCAAAAUCGGAAAGCUUGGGAUCAAAAUUCUCAUCUAAAAGUAUGUUGGAUGAUUUAAAGUCUCGAUAAAUCACCGGAGGCUGAGCUGUUUCAUGCAAGUAUGCAAGUCCUCUUGCUGCUCCUGCGGCAAUUUUCAUCCGCGUAUGCCAAUCAAGUGGCUUUUGAUUUGGACCAAGGUCUGCCGAACAAUGAGGAAAUUUCAAUAAAGGCGAAUAUCAAACUCAAGAUCAUUUCAUCGACACUUCAGAUAUGAAGGCGUACCAAGAAGAUGACCUUCUAAAGAAUCAUUUGGCAUGAACUCGUAAACUAAUAUUCUCUGAUCACCGUCUGAACAGUAUCCUACCAAAUUGACAAGGUUAGGGUGCCGGAGAAGACUCAACAGCAGGACCUCCACAAGGAACUCUUUAGUUCCUUGGAAACCAUUCCUGUCAAGUUGCUUCACUGCAACAUCCUAAGCAACAUGAAAAGAACAAUAGUUAUCGUUUCCAAGAAAACUAACCAAUUUUCGAACAAAAGAAAUGUCAGGAGAGUACCAUAUUCUUGCUUCUAAUAUGGCCUUUGUACACUUUACCAAAACCACCUGAACCAAGCAAACAUUCACAGUCGAAGUUUUGAGUUGCAAGACCCAGCUCGCGGAAUGUGAAGGCUUGAGUUGAAAUGUUCCCUUUUCCAAACUUUUCUAUUUCUGCCGCUAUGUAUCUCCUUCUGCUGCUAUCUGAAAAUUUUGCAGUCAGAAAACAAACAAGCACACUUGAUGACUUGAUCGAAAGCAAUAUUAUAUAUUGUCCGGUGUUCAUUAGUCA